UGGAGAGGAAAGUAAGAAGAUGGAAAGAAAGGGAGGGAGAUGGGGGAAGGAGGAAGAUGGAGAGGUGCAGAAGAGCUGUGGGAAAGGAUGGGAAGAGACUAACAACAGGCAGAUGCUUAUGAUACCCCCCCUUGGUUGCCAGCAGCUGCACUGCCUUUACCUCAGCAGGAGUAGCUUCUGCUCCAUGCCUCUGCCCACUGCAGCAUCGAAGCCGCUGAAGAGCUCUUGCAGCUGCUAACAGCAACUUAUUUUCCUUCUUCCCUGUGGCAAGGAAGAAAAAGGAAACCUGAUGCCAAUUUAUUUCCAGUUAUUGUCUGCUCCUGCAGCAGUGGCUCAUUUAGAAAGUUUAAUCACCAGGUAGCUCAUUCUGCUUUUGCACAGAGCAUCUUUUGUGUGGUGAGACACGUUGCCCAUUGUGUUCUUCCCCCAACACUGUUUUUGUGGAGUGAGCCUUGAAAAUCAUUUUCCUUGGCCAUUUCUCU